rnacentral:rRNA from 1 species
CCUACGGGAGGCAGCAGUGGGGGAUAUUGCACAAUGGGGGAAACCCUGAUGCAGCGACGCCGCGUGUGGGAAGACGGUCCUCUGGAUUGUAAACCACUGUCCCCAGGGACGAAGAUGACGGUACCUGGGGAGGAAGCUCCGGCCAACUACGUGCCAGCAGCCGCGGUAAUACGUAGGGAGCGAGCGUUGUCCGGAAUUACCGGGUGUAAAGGGAGCGUAGGCGGGACUGCAAGUUGGGUGUCAAAUCUACCGGUUCAACCGGUAGCCGCACUCAAAACUGCAGUUCUUGAGUGAAGUAGAGGCAGGCGGAAUUCCUGGUGUAGCGGUGAAAUGCGUAGAGAUUAGGAAGAACACCAGUGGCGAAGGCGGCCUGCUGGGCUUUUACUGACGCUGAGGCUCGAAAGUGUGGGGAGCAAACAGGAUUAGAUACCCUAGUAGUC